rnacentral:misc_RNA from 1 species
UUAAGUGAAUUGACCAAAAUGCCCUUUAUCGGGUUGUAGUCCAUCUUUUUUAAUAAUACCGAUUAAGUCCAUAACUCAAUGGUCACUUUGAUUUUUAUUUUACUUAUCUUAAUUAAUUUCCAUCUCAUUUUUAGUCUUCGAACUGGUUUUGAAUGAUACUAUUCAUAGAUUAAAAAUAAUACUAUUCAGAGCUCGAAAUUCUCAGGAUAUUACAUGGACUCUCUCUCUCUCUCUCUCU